rnacentral:hammerhead_ribozyme from 1 species
AUCCAAUGGCUGACGAGUCCCAAAUAGGACGAAAUUCGCAUUCUGGAU